rnacentral:hammerhead_ribozyme from 1 species
AUCCAACUAACGAGUCCCAAAUAGGACGAUAUGCGCUUCCUGAAU